UCUGUGUGUCCGUGUCCUUGUCCCCGAGGUCCCCUCUCUUACCGUGUCCUCAUCCCCUGAGGUCCCCUGUGUGACCGUGUCCUCGUCCCCGAGGUCCCCUGUGUGACCGUGUCCUCGUCCCCGAGGUCCCCUCUGUGUGACUGUGUCCUCAUCCCUAAGGUCCCCUGUGUGACCGUGUCCUCGUCCCCGAGGUCCCCUCUGUGACCGUGUCCUCAUCCCCGAGGUCCCCUGUGUGACCGUGUCCUCAUCCCCGAGGUCCCCUCUGUGUGACUGUGUCCUCGUCCCCUGAGGUCCCCUCUCUUACCGUGUCCUCAUCCCCUGAGGUCCCCUGUGUGACCAUGUCCUCGUCCCCGAGGUCCCCUGUGUGACCAUGUCCUCGUCCCCGAGGUCCCCUGUGUGACCGUGUCCUCAUCCCCGAGGUCCCCUCUGUGUGACCAUGUCCUCUUCCCUGAGGUCCCCUCUGUGUCCGUGUCCUCAUCCCCGAGGUCCCCUCUGUGUGACCGUGUCCUCUUCCCUGAGGUCCCCUCUGUGUCCGUGUCCUUGUCCCCGAGGUCCCCUCUGUGUCCGUGUCCUUGUCCCCGAGGUCCCCUCUGUGUGACCGUGUCCUCUUCCCCGAGGUCCCCUCUGUGUGACCGUGUCCUCUUCCCUGAGGUCCCCUCUGUGUGACCGUGUCCUCUU
rnacentral:lncRNA from 1 species